rnacentral:rRNA from 2 species
GGCGAGUGAAGCGGGAACAGCUCAAAUUUGAAAUCUGGCCCUUGGGUCCGAGUUGUAAUUUGCAGAGGAUGCUUUUGGUGCGGUGCCUUCCGAGUUCCCUGGAACGGGACGCCUUAGAGGGUGAGAGCCCCGUACGGUUGGACACCAAGCCUAUGUAAAGCUCCUUCGACGAGUCGAGUAGUUUGGGAAUGCUGCUCAAAAUGGGAGGUAUAUUUCUUCUAAAGCUAAAUAUUGGCCAGAGACCGAUAGCGCACAAGUAGAGUGAUCGAAAGAUGAAAAGCACUUUGAAAAGAGGGUUAAAUAGCACGUGAAAUUGUUGAAAGGGAAGGAUUUAUGACCAGACUUUUUCUAGGGGAAUCAUCCGGUGUUCUCACCGGUGCACUUCCCCUAGUUGAGGCCAGCAUCGGUUUCUGUCGAGGGAUAAAAGCUUUAGGAAUGUGGCACCCUCCGGGGUGUGUUAUAGCCUGUUGCAUAAUACCUUGACGGGGACCGAGGUUCGCGCAUUGCAAGGAUGCUGGCGUAAUGGUUAUUAAUCACCCGUCUUGAAACACGGACCAAGGAGUCGAACAUUUGUGCGAGUGUUUGGGUGUUAAACCCUCACGCGUAAUGAAAGUGAACGGAGGUGAGAGCCUUUAGGGGUGCAUCAUCGACCGAUCCUGAUGUCUUCGGAUGGAUUUGAGUAAGAGCAUAACUGUUCGGACCCGAAAGAUGGUGAACUAUGCGUGGAUAGGGUGAAGCCAGAGGAAACUCUGGUGGAGGCUCGCAGCGGUUCUGACGUGCAAAUCGAUCGUCAAAUCUGCGCAUGGGGGCGAAAGACUAAUCGAACCAUUGACCAGCGGUCAAAACAAUCACUAGGUGGUUAAGAGGGGGUCCGCGAGGACCAUUUGAAAAACCUAGGUUGUGUCCGGUUACCCUGUAGGCUACCCUGUAGCUUACCCGGUAGCCGGUCCGGCCGACACCGCUAAAAUGCGGGGACAUCCCUUUACAGGGCCAAAGGCUACCGCCACGCGCUGAAAAGCGUGCUGGCACCGAGGAUAGUGACCUCGGGUACGGUAAUAACGCCUGCGGCUGGGACGACCUGCAGCCAACCCCGCCUAGGGGAGAGUUCACAGACUAAACAGCGGUGGGUUGGCAGUGCCUUUCGGGGCCUGCCAGCCUAAGAUAUAGUCGA